rnacentral:rRNA from 1 species
AGGACGAACGCUGGCGGCGUGCUUAACACAUGCAAGUCGAGCGGAAAGGCCCUUCGGGGUACUCGAGCGGCGAACGGGUGAGUAACACGUGAGCAAUCUGCCCUUAGCUUCGGGAUAGCUCCGGGAAACCGGAAUUAAUACCGAAUAUGACUUCGGCCGACAUCGGCCUUGGUGGAAAGUUUUUCGGCUAGGGAUGAACUCGCGGCCUAUCAGCUUGUUGGUGGGGUAAUGGCCUACCAAGGCGACGACGGGUAGCCGGCCUGAGAGGGCGACCGGCCACACUGGGACUGAGACACGGCCCAGACUCCUACGGGAGGCAGCAGUGGGGAAUAUUGCGCAAUGGGCGAAAGCCUGACGCAGCGACGCCGCGUGGGGGAUGAAGGCCUUCGGGUUGUAACCCCUUUCAGCAGGGACGAAGCGAAAGUGACGGUACCUGCAGAAGAAGCGCCGGCUAACUACGUGCCAGCAGCCGC